UCUCCGUAGGUGAACCUGCGGAGGGAUCAUUACAGAGUUCAUGCCCUACCGGGUAGAUCUCCCACCCUAUGUUAUUAUUACUUUGUUGCUUUGGCGGGCCGUUAGGCUCCGGCCCGACUACCGGCCCCGGCUGGUAAGCGCCCGCCAGAGGACCCAAAACCCUGAAUAUUAGUGUCGUCUGAGUACUAUAUAAUAGUUAGAACUUUCAACAACGGAUCUCUUGGUUCUG
rnacentral:misc_RNA from 1 species